rnacentral:rRNA from 1 species
UGAGGAAUAUUGGUCAAUGGACGCAAGUCUGAACCAGCCAUGCCGCGUGCAGGAUGACGGCUCUAUGAGUUGUAAACUGCUUUUGUACGAGGGUAAACGCAGAUACGUGUAUCUGUCUGAAAGUAUCGUACGAAUAAGGAUCGGCUAACUCCGUGCCAGCAGCCGCGGUAAUACGGAGGAUUCAAGCGUUAUCCGGAUUUAUUGGGUUUAAAGGGUGCGUAGGCGGUUUGAUAAGUUAGAGGUGAAAUUUCGGGGCUCAACCCUGAACGUGCCUCUAAUACUGUUGAGCUAGAGAGUAGUUGCGGUAGGCGGAAUGUAUGGUGUAGCGGUGAAAUGCUUAGAGAUCAUACAGAACACCGAUUGCGAAGGCAGCUUACCAAACUAUAUCUGACGUUGAGGCACGAAAGCGUGGGGAGCAAACAGGAUUAGAUACCCUGGUAGUCCACGCAGUAAACGAUGAUAACUCGUUGUCGGCGAUACACAGUCGGUGACUAAGCGAAAGCGAUAAGUUAUCCACCUGGGGAGUACGUUCGCAAGAAUGAAACUCAAAGGAAUUGACGGGGGCCCGCACAAGCGGAGGAACAUGUGGUUUAAUUCGAUGAUACGCGAGGAACCUUACCCGGGCUUGAAAGUUACUGACGAUUCUGGAAACAGGAUUUCCCUUUGGGGCAGGAAACUAGGUGCUGCAUGGUUGUCGUCAGCUCGUGCCGUGAGGUGUCGGGUUAAGUCCCAUAACGAGCGCAACCCCUACCGUUAGUUGCCAUCAGGUCAAGCUGGGCACUCUGGCGGGACUGCCGGUGUAAGCCGAGAGGAAGGUGGGGAUGACGUCAAAUCAGCACGGCCCUUACGUCCGGGGCUACACACGUGUUACAAUGGUAGGUACAGAGGGUCGCUACUCCGUGAGGAGAUGCCAAUCUCGAAAGCCUAUCUCAGUUCGGAUUGGAGGCUGAAACCCGCCUCCAUGAAGUUGGAUUCGCUAGUAAUCGCGCAUCAGCCAUGGCGCGGUGAAUACGUUCCC